AACGAACGCUGGCGGCAGGCCUAACACAUGCAAGUCGAGCGCGCCCUUCGGGGUGAGCGGCGGACGGGUGAGUAACGCGUGGGAAUAUGCCUCUCGGUGCGGAAUAGCCACUGGAAACGGUGAGUAAUACCGCAUGCGCCCUUCGGGGGAAAGAUUUAUCGCCGAGAGAUUAGCCCGCGUUGGAUUAGGUAGUUGGUGGGGUAAAGGCCUACCAAGCCGACGAUCCAUAGCUGGUUUGAGAGGAUGAUCAGCCACACUGGGACUGAGACACGGCCCAGACUCCUACGGGAGGCAGCAGUGGGGAAUCUUAGACAAUGGGGGCAACCCUGAUCUAGCCAUGCCGCGUGAGUGAUGAAGGCCUUAGGGUCGUAAAGCUCUUUCGCCAGGGAAGAUAAUGACUGUACCUGGUAAAGAAACCCCGGCUAACUCCGUGCCAGCCGCCGCCGUAACAC
rnacentral:rRNA from 1 species